AUGGAGCUUAUCAAAACUAAGUAUGUGAAACUUCACAUAUCAAAAUAUUUAUAAAUAAUCAGAAAGUAGAAUAAAAAAUAAUACAAUGGUAUUGUUAGAAGUGAUUUAAAAUUCUGUCAGAUAACCAAAGAAACUAAAAUUCAUCUAUCAAGGUGGCAUACACUCCGUAAUAUAUUCUAUAUUAUGUUAAGAGGCCAUUCUUAAAUGUGAUUUCUAAAAUUAACUAAAUCUGUUUUUAUUGAGAAGAAUUAGUUUGGAUUUGAAUGUUCUUUUUUUCCUUUUAGGCAAUAUGUCAGUAUUGAGCACACCCAGACACCAGAGCUCUGUCCGGAAAAACAGUGGCUCUUACAAGUAACCGGAACAUAGGUAGGUCACCUUUUCAUCCUGGUGCUGGAGUGGCAGUAUUACCAGAAUAAAAUCCUGAAAGGAAAUGCA
ensembl:lncRNA